GAAGGCACCGCCCUCGCUGUGGAGCGCUUUGCUUACAGUCUGCUCCCGCUUCAGAAGCGCCAUCGUUUCCGCCCCAGUGUCCCCGAACCCACCACAGGACGAGGCUCACAGUGGCGCACAGUUCGUGCUGCCUUAACCAACGUGUCCAAUCAGGCGUGGACGCUCCUGGGAAGAAUGACCGAGCCGGCCUCCACGGGGGCUUUGGGGCAGAUGCGCGUCCGGUGCCCGGCCCCUUCCACGGCUGCCCCUUGUGGGUGAGGGAAGGUCCCUGCUGGGCUUCACCCUCAGCCCUCGGUUUGGGCCUGGACGGUCAGCUUCUCUCCUGGGCCCUGGACCUGGAGGACCUGACCCAGCUUCCGUGUCAGCCCUUAUGGUCAGAAGAAGGCUGCUGGGGCUCCGCCGUCACACCUACACACCAAGAGGGAAGAAGAGAAACGCCGAGGGGCCAAAGGCAAUCUCCUUCCCGAGUCCCUCCCAGGGUGCAAAAUGGAACAACCCCACAAGGGGCAACUUGGCAGCUCUGAGCAGAACCUCAGCACCCUCUACACGGGAACAUUAUGUUAACGGCCCCCAGCGAACACGGUGACUUAACAAAACAACGUGCAGGAAUACAUCCCGAGUGACCCCUCCGACGCGGUGGCUGCCUCGUCCUUACCCGCGGUGGUAACGGGCCGUGCGGGUGCUGGCAGGGUCCUGCCGAGGCUGAUGGACAUCCCGGC
rnacentral:lncRNA from 9 species